UACAGAGGUCUCAAGCGUUGUUCGGAUUCAUUGGGCGUAAAGGGUGUGUAGGUGGCGCGCUAAGUCGGGUGUGAAAUCCCUCGGCUCAACCGGGGCACUGCGUCUGAGACUGAAUGGCUUGAAUCCGGGAGAGGGAUGCGGAAUUCCAGGUGUAGCGGUGAAAUGCGUAGAUAUCUGGAGGAACACCGGUGGCGAAGGCGGCAUCCUGGACCGGUAUUGACGCUGAGGAGCGAAAGCCAGGGGAGCAAACGGG
rnacentral:rRNA from 1 species